GUAGGCGGCAAGCGUUGUCCGGAAUUAUUGGGCGUAAAGCGCGCGCAGGCGGGUCCUUUAAGUCUGAUGUGAAAGCCCACGGGCUCAACCGUGGAGGGUCAUUGGAAACUGGGGGACUUGAGUACAGAAGAGGAAAGCGGAAUUCCAAGUGUAGCGGUGAAAUGCGUAGAGAUUUGGAGGAACACCAGUGGCGAAGGCGGCUUUCUGGUCUGUAACUGACGCUGAGGCGCGAAAGCGUGGGGAGCAAACAGGAUUAGAUACCCUGGUAGUCCACGCCGUAAACGAUGAGUGCUAAGUGUUAGGGGGUUUCCGCCCCUUAGUGCUGCAGCUAACGCAUUAAGCACUCCGCCUGGGGAGUACGGCCGCAAAGGCUG
rnacentral:rRNA from 1 species